UCAGGUAACGGAUGGAUAUUUAGAAACUACAGUCGGAUGGACUCAAGGAAUGAAAAAUAUACGUUUGAGAGACCUUCCUACUUUUCUUAGAACAACAAGUCUAGAUGAUAUUAUGAUCAAUUUUAUCAUUCAAGAAAUGAAAAGAUCUCGAGAAGCAUCUACAAUUAUAUUAAACACAUUUGAUGCAAUCGAAGGAGAUGUCAAAGAUUCUCUUUCUUCUAUCCUUCAGUCUAUUUACACUAUUGGUCCACUUCACAUGCUUGGCAACCAAAUAGAUGAUGAAAAACUAACAGCAAUUGGCUCAAACCUAUGGGCUGAGGAAUCAGAAUGCAUUGAGUGGCUUAACUCUAAGCAGCCCAACUCAGUUGUUUAUGUUAAUUUUGGUAGCAUUACAGUGAUGACACCACAACAAAUGGUUGAGUUUGCAUGGGGAUUAGCUGAUAGUGGGAAGUCAUUUUUGUGGAUUACAAGGCCUGAUUUAAUUGUGGGAGAUUCAGCCAUUAUGCCUCAAGAAUUUGUUACACAAACUAAAGAUAGAAGCUUGAUAGCAAGUUGGUGUAGUCAAGAACAAGUGUUGAACCAUCCAUCAAUAGGAGGAUUUCUAACACAUAGUGGAUGGAAUUCAACUCUUGAGAGUAUAUGUGCUGGUGUUCCAAUGAUUUCAUGGCCUUUCUUUGCUGAACAACAAACAAAUUGUCGUUAUUGUUGCACUGAGUGGGGGAUUGGAAUGGAGAUUGACAACAAUGUAAAAAGAAAUGAAGUGGAGGAGUUAGUGAGAGAGUUGAUGGAUGGAGAAAAAGGUAAGAAAAUGAAAGAGAAUGUAAUGUAUUUGAGGAGUAAAGCUGAAGAAGCAUAUAAACCAGGUGGUUCUGCUUACAAGCAAUUGGAUAAGCUGAUCAAUGAAGUACUUUUGUCAAACAUAAAGAAGGUUUAAGCUUUGUAUCCAAAGUUCUCUGCUGUUACACCUGGUUGAUCUGCUUUUCUUCUUUAGGAACCUAUGUAUUAUUAUAUAUUGAAUAUUAUUGCAUGGUUUUUCUUCAAUAAAUUCUCCUAUUUGAUUUUUCUGAAGACUAGCUCAUUAAUUAAGUAGGAAAAUGUAUAUAAAGAUUGUGGUAUAUGUUAGAUUGGAUCUGUUUCAGAUAAGCAUGUUGUAAAACUCUCUAAUCCUAACGACGUCCGUGAUAUGUAGUUUGAAUUAUUCUUUUUAAAAAUAAAUUGCUCUGUUUUCUUUUGUUCACCGAUAUAACUAACACAUGGUUAGUUAAGCAAGCAAACAAUCUUUAUAUAUUGAUUCUACAUCGUAUACAUUUUUCUUCUUUUAUCUUAAUUAAUGGUGAAUUUGUAACCGUGUCUUUCCAUUUUAUCUAUAUACGUGUGCAAGACAUCUCUUGACAUCCUCUUAUUAUUGUUGGUAUGAAUUUGAAAAUUUGUAUGUCGUGGACACAUAAAUUCAUAUAGUAGUAAAAUGUCCUCAUUAAAAAAAAAACUAUUAACAACUUAUCCUAAAAUAAAUUUGAAAUUUUUUAUCCAAACACACCAUUUAACCACUAUAAACCAUUACUAUUAUUAGGAAAACUAUGAAAAACAAUAAAUUUGACAAAAUAUUUACAAGCUAUAACACAAUUUCAUAUCUGUCAAUACCAAACAGUGAUAUCCUUCUAUCUAUGGCAUUGAAGCUAUUACUAAUUAUUUUUUAUAGAAUCCAUAAAUUUUAUUAUAUAUUAUAAAUAUUUUAAUUUAUUUUGCUACUUUAAAAACUAAUUUGAAUAGUUUUAUGUCGCAAUUGAUCGUUUGUCCAUCCAUUUAUUAUGACAACCACAAGUAACAUCUGUAGUGGUCACCAUGGUUUUUUUGUUUUUUUCCCAAGAUUCAUAUAUUAAUAAAUGAUUGAGAUACAUACAUUAAUCAACCAACGAUCCAAAAGCAAAAAGAUAUUUAUAAGUUCAAAUUAUCUUCUUGCUUCUGCAGCUUGUAAGAAUAUUAGAAUUCUUACAUUUUUGUUUCUCAGAAAACUGAGCAAUUCCCCAUUUCAAGAAGAUCAAGAAAUUCAAUGAUGGAAUCUGUCUCACAGACUGAAAAACCACAUGCUGUAUGUAUCCCAUAUCCAGUCCAAGGCCAUAUCACCCCUAUGCUAAUGCUUGCUAAGCUUCUCCAUCACAGAGGUUUCUACAUAACUUUUGUCAAUACCGACUACAAUCAUCGUCGUCUUCUCCAAUCGAGAGGCCCCAACUCGCUCGAUGGCUUGCAAGAUUUUAAGUUCCGAACCAUUCCCGACGGCCUUCCUUACUCGGACGCCAACUGUACUCAAGAUAUUCCAGCACUCUGUGAAUCCACCUCCAAGAAUUGCUUAGCCCCUUUUUGUGAUCUUAUUUCACAACUUAACUCAAUGGCAGCUUCUCCUUCUAGUAAUAUGCCACCAGUUAGCUGCAUUGUUAGUGAUGCUAUUAUGUCUUUCUCUAUGUUGGCUGCCAAUGAGUUUAAAAUCCCUUAUGCUUUUCUUUGGACUGCUAGUGCUUGUGGCUAUCUUGGUUACUUCCAAUAUGAGCAUCUCAUUAACCAGGGCUUGAUUCCUCUUAAAGGUAUGGUUUCAUUUUAAUGUGUUUUCUUUUCUUUUUUGUCAAUCUUUGUUCGAAAUGGAUUUUUGUGUGGUAGAAUUUUAUUUUAAAAAUUAUGUUUAACUUUUUUAUGAACAUUUUCAGCAUAAUCAACUAAAAUAUUUAUAGAAUAUAUCAAAAUUUUACAUGUUAGAUUUAAAGAUAGAGAUUUAUUUUAGUAUAUUGAUAGACAUAAAUAGACUUAUAUUAGUAUGAAUUGAUAUACUAAAUUUUUUCAAUUUUAUUUCUAAUAAAUUUAUAAAUUAAAAAAGUUUCUAAUAAUUAUAUCCUUAAUGUUUUUUAAUUUUUAUUUUCAUCUAACUCUUGUUAUCUUUUUAUCAAGUCUUUCAUCCAUUUCAACGUUUUAAAGAUAGUAGGAACCUAUUAGACUUAAAAGUUACAAGUUUAAUUAUGUUCAUUAGACCCAAAAUAAAUUUUCAUUCCUAUUUUUUAAAAAAAAAUUAUAGAACAUGUCAAAAACCUAAGAACUACUUAUAUAUUUUUUGAGAGGAUAUGAAUUUGAAAAUUUAGAAACAAAUGAGAUGCUUAUCUUUUCAAGAGAAAUUUUAAUAGUUAGAUAAGAUGCCAAACAAUUGAGAGUGAUAGACUUUUAUCACCUCUAAAGUCUUAGUUCUGUCAGUUAGUGUUAGUGAUAGGUUUCUCAUUAUCCAUUUCUAUUAUUGAUAGACAUCGAUAAACUUCUAUUAGUUUUUAAUAUUGAUAUAUGACAUCGAUAGAUUUCUACAUGUGUUUAACCUGUAUUUUCUAAAUUUCUUAUCAACAUAUAUUUGAAAGAUAAGAAAUUUAGAGUUUUUUGCGAAUUUUUUUUUAAAUAAUGUAAAAUUUGAAACAUAUAUCAAAAAUAGGGUGGAUGCAAAACUAUUUUUAAAAAUAGGUGAUUUGGGGUGAAGUCUCGUACACGACUUUCAUGCAGUGGACCUCACAUAUUCUAUUUUUUUUCUUAUUUUUAUAUUUAUACUACACUGGGCCCACAUUUUUUUUAUUUUCUCAUUAUUUAUAUACGUGGGACCCACACACUUCACUUUUUCUCAUUAUUUAUAUAUACAUACUCACAUAUAAUAUAAUAUAUAUAUUAAACAUUCAAAUUCUAAAGAUAUCUUUCUUUAUUAAAUUAAUUAAUUUUUUAUUUUUUCUUUAUAUAUAUUUAAAUAUCACAAUCUUCAAUCUUCGUUUUUUCUUAUUAAAUUCAUUUUUCUACUUUAAUUUAAAUUUUUCUUAAUCAAAAUUACACAUAUCUUCUUUUCCAAAUUUUAAUUUUUUUAAACAAACUCAUAUAUUAACAAAUAUGUUAUUAAACAAAUAAAAAUAGAAAUAAUAGUAAUAAUUAUAUAUAUAUAUAUAUAUAUUUAAUAUCUCAAUCUUCAAUUUUUCUUAUUAAUUCAUCUUUUCUAAUUUAAUUUAAUUAUUUCUUAACCAAAAUUAUAUAUAUCUUUUUCUAAUUUUCUGUUUUAAAAAACACAUAUAUUAACCAAAUAUGUUAUUAAAAAAUACAUUAAACAAAUAAAAAUAAUAAUAGUAAUUGAAAGAAGUUGAAACGUACUCUAAAAAUAAUAAUAACAAUAAAUUUGUAAUUGAAAAUUAUCCGUUAAGUUUUUAAAUUUAAUUUGUAAUCGAACCAAUUCUUGUUUUUUUCCUUUUGCCAUAAACAUGAAUUUCUUUUUAUUCAAUUAUCAAUGUGCGUGGCUUCAAGUGUUAUUAUUAUUAUUUUUUUUAGUAAUUUUAACUUAUCUCAAUUAUUAUUAUUACUCUUUUAAUUUGUUUAAUAUAUUUUUAAUAACAUGUUUUGUUAAUAUAUGAGAUUUUUUAACAAAAUUGAAAGUUGGAAAAAAAAUAUAUGUAUAAUUUUGAUUAAGAAAGAAUUAAAUUAAAUUAGAAAAAUGAAUUUAAUAAGAAAAAUUGAAGAUCGAAGAUUGUGAUAUUUAAAUAUAUAUAAAGAAAAAAAUAAAUUAAUUUAAUAAAAAAAGAUAUUUUUAGAAUUUGAAUGUAUAACAUAUAUAUAUUAAAUUAUAUGUGAGUAUGUAUAUAUAAAUAAUGAGAAAAAGUGAAGUGUGUGGGACCUACGUAUAUAAAUAAUGAGAAAAUAAAAAAAUGUGGGGUCCAGUGUUGUAUAAAUAUAAAAAUAAGGAAAAAAUAAAAUAUGUGGGAUCCACUGCAUAAAAGUCGUGGUACACGACUUCACCCCAAAUCACCUAUUUUUAAAAAUAGUUUUGCAUCCACCCUAUUUUUGAUAUAUGUUGCAAAUAUUACAUUAUUUUUAGAAAAAAUCCGUUUUUUGCAAUAACCAGUAAAUCGUUUUAACCUAUCUUCCAAUUAAAAAAAGAACUUGGACAUCCAUUAGAAUACACAACCAGGUGGACCAAACUCAUAAUUUAAACCAAAUUCUUUAUUUUGGUAUUUGUGUAUUUAGUUUUGAUAUCUUUACUGGUUAACAGAUAUAAGUCAGGUAACAUAUGAAUAUUUAGAAACUACAAUCGAAUAGAUUCAAGGAAUGAAAAAUAUAAGUUUGAGAGAUCUUCCUACUUUUCUUAGAACAACAGUUCGAGAUGAUAUCAUGCUCACUUUUAUCAUUCAAGCAAUGGAAAGAUCUAGAGAAGCACCUGUAGAUAACAUUGCUAUAUAAAUUUCUAUAUAUGUUCAUUACUUAUAUCGUUGAUAGAUAUGCUAAUAGGCUUCCAUCAACGUUCAUUUAAAUGAUAAAAAAUAAGAAAUUUAUUUGAAAUAACUUGUAAAUAGUUUAAUCUAUCUUCAAAUUAAAAAAGAAAAAAAAAAAACUUGGACAUCCAUCAGAAUAAAGAACCAUGUGGACCAAACUCAUCAUUUUAACCAAAUUCUUUAUUUUGAAGUUUGUGUAUUUAAAUUUUAAACUCUUUACUGGUUAACAGAUAUGAGUCAGCUAACAGAUGGAUAUUUAGAAACUACAAUCGGAUGGACUCAAGGAAUGAAAAAUAUACGUUUGAGAGACCUUCCUACUUUUCUUAGAACAACAAAUCUAGAUGAUAUUAUGAUCAAUUUUAUCCUUCAAGAAAUGAAAAGAUCUCGAGAAGCAUCUACAAUUAUAUUAAACACAUUUGAUGCAAUCGAAGGAGAUGUCAAAGAUUCUCUUUCAUCUAUCCUUCAGUCUAUUUACACUAUUGGUCCACUUCACAUGCUUGGCAACAAAAUAGAUGAUGAAAAACUAACAGCAAUUGGCUCAAACCUAUGGGCUGAGGAAUCAAAAUGCAUUGAGUGGCUUAACUCUAAGCAGCCCGACUCAGUUGUUUAUGUUAAUUUUGGUAGCAUCACAGUGAUGACACCACAACAAAUGGUUGAGUUUGCAUGGGGAUUAGCUGAUAGUGGGAAGCCAUUUUUGUGGAUUACAAGGCCUGAUUUAAUUGUGGGAGAUUCAGCCAUUAUGCCUCAAGAAUUUGUUACACAGACUAAAGAUAGAAGCUUGAUAUCAAGUUGGUGUAGUCAAGAACAAGUGUUGAGCCAUCCUUCAAUAGGAGGAUUUCUAACACAUAGUGGAUGGAAUUCAACUCUUGAGAGUAUAUGUGCUGGUGUUCCAAUGAUUUCAUGGCCUUUCUUUGCUGAACAACAAACAAAUUGUCGUUAUUGUUGCACUGAGUGGGGGAUUGGAAUGGAGAUUGACAACAAUGUAAAAAGAAAUGAAGUGGAGGAGUUAGUGAGAGAGUUGAUGGAUGGAGAAAAAGGUAAGAAAAUGAAAGAGAAUGUAAUGUAUUUGAAGAGUAAAGCUGAAGAAGCAUAUAAACCAGGUGGUUCUGCUUACAAGCAAUUGGAUAAGCUGAUCAAUGAAGUACUUUUGUCAAACAUAAAGAAGGUUUAAACUUUGGAUACAAAGUUCUCUGCUUUUACACCUAGUUGAUCUGAUUUUCUUCUUUAGGUCUAUGUAUUAUUAUAUUGAAUAUUAUUGCAUGGUUUUCAUUUUUAAAUAAAUUCUCCAAUUUGGUAUUUCAAUUUUCUUGGGUAGAAAACAUAAUUCAGAGUUGUAGUCUUCUUAAUCUACGAGGAUAAACUUGUAUUAGUUUCUUUAACUGAAUAGUUAUUCUUUAUUAGUUUCUAUCACGAUUAGACAUUGAAAAUUUUAUCAGCCUUUAUCAUUGAUAAGCUUCUAGCAUUGAUAGAUGACAUUGAUAGGUUUUUGUAUUUAUUCAUUAGUUAUAGUGUUGAUAUAGAUGAUGCUGAUAGACUUCCAUCAACUUCUAUCUCAAUAAUAAAGAAAUUUAGAAACUUUUCUAAUAACUUGUAAAUAGUUUAACCAAUCUUUCAAUUAAAAAAAAAAAAAACUUGAACAUCUAUUAAAAUACACAACCACCUGGACAAAACUCAUCAUUUAAAAAAAAAAAUCAUUAUUUUGGAAUCUGUGUAUUUAGUUUUGAAAUCUUUACAGGUUAAUAGAUAUGAGUCAGGUAACAGAUGGAUAUUUAAAAACUACAGUCGGAUGGACUCAAGGAAUGAAAAAUAUAUGUUUGAAAGACCUUCCUACUUUACUUGGAACAGUAGUUGAAGAUGACAUUAUGAUCAAUUUUAUCAUUCAAGCAAUGGAAAGAUCUCCAUAAGCAUCUGCAAUUAUAUUAAACACAUUUAAUAUAAUGGAAGGAGAUGUCAAAGAUUCUCUUUCUUUAUUUACACCAUCGGUCCACUUCACAUGCUUUCCAACCAAAUAGAUGAUGAGAAUCUAACAGCAAUUGGCUCAAACCUAUUGGCUGAGGAAUCAGAAUCCAUUGAGUGGCUUAACUCUAAGCAACCCAACUCAGUUGUUUAUGUUAAUUUUGGUAGCAUCACAGUGAUGACACCACAACAAUUGAUUGAGUUUGCAUGGGGAUUCGCUGAUAGUGGGAAGCCACUUUUGUGGAUUACAAGGCCUGAUUUAAUUGUGGGAGAUUCAGCCAUUAUGCCUCAAGAAUUUGUCACACAAACUAAAGAUAGAAGCAUGAUAGCAAGUUGGUGUAGUCAAGAACAAGUGUUGAACCAUCCUUCAAUAGGAGGAUUUGUAACACAUAGUGGAUGGAAUUCAACUCUUGAGAGAGUAUAUGUGCUGGUGUUCCAAUGAUAUGUUGGCCUUUCUUUGGUGAACAACAAACAAAUUGUCGUUAUUGUUGCACUGAGUGGGGGAUUGGAAUGGAGAUUGAUAACAAUGUAAUAAGAAGUGAAGUGGAGGAGUUAGUGGGAGAGUUGAUGGAUGGAGAAAAAGGUAAUUGAAAAUGAAAGAGAAUGUAAUGUAUUUGAAGAGUAAAGCUGAAGAAGCAUAUAAACCAGGUGGUUCUGCUUGCAAGCAAUUGGAUAAGCUGAUCAAUGAAGUACUUUUGUCAAACAUAAAGAAGGUUUAAGCUUUGUAUCCAAAGUUCUCUGCUGUUACACCUGGUUGAUCUGCUUUUCUUCUUUAGGAACCCUAUGUAUUAUUAUAUAUUGAAUAUUAUUGCAUUGUUUUUCUUCAAUAAAUUCUCCUAUUUGAUUUUUUUGAAGAGGAGCUCAUUAAUUAAGUAGGAAAAUGUAUAUAAAGAUUGUGGUAUAUGUUAGAUUGGAUCUCUUUCAGAAAAGCAUGUUGUAAAACUCUCUAAUCCUAACGACGUUGGUGAUAUGUAGUUUGAAUUAUUCUUUUUAAAAAUAAAUUGCACUUUUUUGUUUGUUUCACGAAUAUAACUAACACAUGGUUAGUUAAGCAAGCAAACAAUCUCUAUAUAUUUGAUUCUACAUUGUAUACAUAUAUUUUUCUUCUUUUAUCUUAAUUAAUGGUGAAUUUGUAACCGUGUCUUUCCAUUUUAUCUAUAUAUAUGUGCAAGAGAUCUCUUAACAUCCUCCUAUUGUUGUUGGUAUGAAUUUGAAAAUUCGUAAAAUUCAAAUAAUAGUAAAAGGUCCUCAUUAAACAUUAACAACUUAUCUUAAAAUGAAUUUGAAAUUUUUUAUCCAAACAAACCAUUUAAUUUGAAGUGCCACAAGCACUAUAAAUCAUUAUUAUUAUUAGAAAAUUUAUGAAAAAUAGCAAAUUUGACAGAAUAUUUACAAGUUAUAACACAAUUUCAUAUAUGUCAAUAUAUACCAAACAGUGAUAUCCUUCUAUCUAUGGCAUUGAAACUUACUGACUAUCUUUUGUAGAAUCUACAAAUUUUGAUACAUAUGAUAAAUAUUUUAAUUUAUUUUGCUAUUUUAAAAACUAUUUCGAAUAGUUUUAUUUGACAAUGGAUCGUUUGUCCAUCCAUUUAUUAUGACAACCAUAAGUAACAUCUGUAGUGGUCACGAUGGUUUUUUUGUUUUCUGUUCUUUUCGCGAGAUUCAUAUAUUAAUAAAUAAUUGAGAUACAUACAUUAAUCAAUCAACCAUCCAAAACCAAAAAGAUAUUUAUAAGUUCAAAUUAUCUUCUUGCUUCACCAGCUUAUAAGAAUAUUAGAAUUCUUACAUUUUUGUUUCUCAGAAAACUGAGCAAUUCCCCAUUUCAAGAAGAUCAAGAAAUUCAAUGAUGGAAUCUGUCUCACAGACUGAAAAACCACAUGCUGUAUGUAUCCCAUAUCCAGUCCAAGGCCAUAUCACCCCUAUGCUAAUGCUUGCUAAGCUUCUCCAUCACAGAGGUUUCUACAUAACUUUUGUCAAUACCGACUACAAUCAUCGUCGUCUUCUCCAAUCGAGAGGCCCCAACUCGCUCGAUGGCUUGCAAGAUUUUAAGUUCCGAACCAUUCCCGACGGCCUUCCUUACUCGGACGCCAACUGUACUCAAGAUAUUCCAGCACUCUGUGAAUCCACCUCCAAGAAUUGCUUAGCCCCUUUUUGUGAUCUUAUUUCACAACUUAACUCAAUGGCAGCUUCUCCUUCCAGUAAUAUGCCACCAGUUAGCUGCAUUGUUAGUGAUGCUGUUAUGUCUUUCUCUAUGUUGGCUGCCAAUGAGUUUAAAAUCCCUCAUGCUUUUCUUUGGACUGCUAGUGCUUGUGGCUAUCUUGGUUACUUCCAAUAUGAGCAUCUCAUUAAACAAGGCUUGAUUCCUCUUAAAGGUAUGGUUUCAUUUUAAUCUGUUUUCUUUUCUUUUUUAUGUCAAUCUUUGUUCAAAAUGGAUUUUUGUGUGGUAGAAUUUUAUUUUAAAAAUUAUGUUUUAACUUUUUUAUGGACAUUUUAGCAUAAUCAACUAAAAUAUUUAUAAAAUAUAUCAAAAUUUUACAGAUAUUGAUAGACAUAAAUAGACUUAUAUUAGUAUUAAUUGAUACUAAAUUUUUUCAAUUUUAUUUCUAAUAAAUCUAUAAAUUUAAAAAGUUUCUAAUAAUUAUAUACUUAAUUUUUUUUUCAUCUAACUCUUUCAACUUUUAAUGUUAUCUUUUUAUCAAGUCUUUCAUCCAUUUCAACAUUUUAAAAGUUACAAGUUUAAUUAUGUUCAUUAGACCCAAAACAAAUUUUCAUUCCAAAUUUUUUUAAAAAAAUUUAUAGAACAUGUCAAAAACCUAAGAAUGACAUAUAUAUUUUGAGAGGAUAUGAAUUUGAAAAUUUAGAAACAAAUGAGAUGCUUAUCGUUUCAAGAGAAAUUUUCAUGGUUAGAUAAGAUGCCAAACAAUUGAGAGUGAUAGACUUUUACCACCUCUAAAGUCUUAGUUCUGUCAGUUAGUGUUAGUGAUAGGCUUCUCAUUAUCCAUUUCUAUUAUUGAUAGACACCGAUAAACUUGUAUUAGUUUUUAAUAUUGAUACAUGACAUUGAUACAUAGAUUUCUAGAUGUGUUUAACCUAUAUUUUCUAAAUUUCUUAUCAACAUAUAUUCGAAAGAUAAGAAAUUUAAAGUUUUUCGCAAUAACCAGUACAUCGUUUAACCUAUCUUCCGAUUAAAAAAAGAACUUGGACAUCGAUUAGAAUACACAACCAGGUGGACCAAACUCAUAAUUUAAACCAAAUUCUUUAUUUUGGUAUUUGUGUAUUUAGUUUUGAUCUCUUUACUGGUUAACAGAUAUAAGUCAGAUAACAGAUGAAUAUUUAGAAACUACAAUCGAAUGAACUCAAGAAAUGAAAAAUAUAAGUUUGAGAGAUCUUCCUACUUUUCUUAGAACAACAGUUCGACAUGAUAUCAUGCUCACUUUUAUCAUUCAAGCAAUGGAAAGAUCUAAAGAAGCACCUGUAGAUGACAUUGAUAUACAAAAUUUUAUAUAUGUUCAUUACUUAUAUCGUUGAUAGAUAUGCUAAUAGGCUUCCAUUAACAUUCAUAUAAAUGAUAAAAAUAAGAAAUUUAUUUGCAAUAACUUGUAAAUAGUUUAAUACACCCAUUAGAAUAUACAACCAUGUGGACCAAACUCAUCAUUUUAACCAAAUUCUUUAUUUUGAAGUUUGUGUAUUUAAGUUUUGAACUCUUUACUGGUUAACAGAUAUGGAUCAGGUAACAAAUGGAUAUUUAGAAACUACAAUCGAAUGGACUCAAGGUAUGAAGAAUAUACGUUUGAGAGACCUUCCUACUUUUCUUAGAACAACAAAUCUAGAUGAUAUUAUGUUGAAUUUUCUCCUUCAAGAAAUGAAAAGAUCUCGAGAAGCAUCUACAAUUAUAUUAAGCACAUUUGAUGCAAUCGAAGGAGAUGUCAAAGAUUCUCUUUCAUCUAUCCUUCAGUCUAUUUACACUAUUGGUCCACUUCACAUGCUUGGCAACAAAAUAGAUGAUGAAAAACUAACAGCAAUUGGCUCAAACCUAUGGGUUGAGGAAUCAGAAUGCAUCGAGUGGCUUAACUCUAAGCAGCCCAACUCAGUUGUUUAUCUUAAUUUUGGUAGCAUCACAGUGAUGACACCACAACAAAUGGUUGAGUUUGCAUGGGGAUUAGCUGAUAGUGGGAAGCCAUUUUUGUGGAUUACAAGGCCUGAUUUAAUUGUGGGAAAUUCA
rnacentral:lncRNA from 1 species